ACUCUUCAACCCACUGGUUUCUUGUAGACUAGCUGGUGUUUGGAUUUUGAACGUUGCUGGUCUUCGGACGUAGCUCGUUCGUAGUGCAUUAGCAUCUCUAAUUCGAAUUCGGAUUGACUCAGUGUAAUAGACCAUACGCUGAGGACAUUUUUAUUAGUGGCCGAACAAGAUAAUUGUAGAAGCUUCAAACCUCUAUGGCCAAUUUUAG
rnacentral:misc_RNA from 1 species